UAGGGAAUUUUCCGCAAUGGGCGAAAGCCUGACGGAGCAACGCCGCGUGAGUGAUGAAGGUCUUCGGAUCGUAAAACUCUGUUAUUAGGGAAGAACAAAUGUGUAAGUAACUAUGCACGUCUUGACGGUACCUAAUCAGAAAGCCACGGCUAACUACGUGCCAGCAGCCGCGGUAAUACGUAGGUGGCAAGCGUUAUCCGGAAUUAUUUGGCGUAAAGCGCGCGUAGGCGGUUUUUUAAGUCUGAUGUGAAAGCCCACGGCUCAACCGUGGAGGGUCAUUGGAAACUGUAAAACUUGAGUGCAGAAGAGGAAAGUGGAAUUCCAUGUGUAGCGGUGAAAUGCGCAGAGAUAUGGAGGAACCCCAGUGGCGAAGGCGACUUUCUGGUCUGUAACUGACGCUGAUGUGCGAAAGCGUGGGGAUCAAACAGG
rnacentral:rRNA from 1 species